rnacentral:misc_RNA from 1 species
AAUUAUUUCAAUUGAACUACUCACCACGGAUGUUAGCCGCAUUUCGAAGUCGUAAGUUUUCGCGAGUCCAAAGUCGGCUAUCUUAAUCCUCCCCUGACUGGUGACGAGUAAAUUUUGCGGCUUGAGAUCGCGGUGGAUGAUCCUGUGACUGUGUAAAAAAUCAACACCCAGUAAAAUUUCUUUUGACAUUUGUUUUAUAACGUGACCGGGAAGUCCGGGCGGCGGACGCGACGCUAAAAAAGAGGCCAGGUCACGUUCCACGUGUUCGAACACCAGCCAAAGGGUUAAUCCUCUGUUAACCGUUUCCGAACGUUCAUCGCCACCGGCUUUAGAUUUUCAACAACUAUU